rnacentral:lncRNA from 1 species
AUUUCACAUGUAUCUCUCCAGUUCACAGGAAGUGUCAUUCUCCUUAAUCACUUUGCUCUUAUCCUUGAUGUUUUUCCAAACAUUUUUGCUGAUGUUGAGUGUUUUCCAUUUCUCUGAGCUGUGUUGUCAGUCCAUCUCCUGAUGAAGCAAGGGCAGUUUGAAUGCUGAAUGGAGGUGGAUGAGGAAGGGGAACACUACGUGAAAAUAUUUGUUUUACACAGAUGAAAUGUUGGAUCAGAACGCACGGAACUACAUCCAGGCCUACAGGUAAUUAUGAUUCAGCUUGGUGCAGGAGCCCAAGGAUCUGAAAAUACUUUUGGGAGGCCGCGAGGAACACAAGGGGAGCAGAUAAUGACAUGGUCCACAACACACUUAAGGAGUUGGCAGAGUUUGGGAUCAGGGGAUUCUGCGCGUGUGUGGAUAAUCAGCAUUCAGGAGAAGGUGU